UACCGCGCCAAUCUAGGUCCGGAUUGUGGCCUUCUUGGCUUUCCAUAGGCGAUUUCACCUUCUAAUCUCAAAUUUCCUGUGUCAAACCGAGGGGGUCAAAUCCCCCGUUCGUCACGGCGCGGGGUUUCUUGGUUCACUGGGGAAGGCGGGGCUGUGCACUAUGGAGGACUAAAAGUGCCACAAUUAAAUAAAUAAAUACACCAUUAAAUAAAUAAAUACACCAUUAAAUAAUUCCUUAAAUGUGUCAUUAAUUAAUUAAAAUUGGAAUUAAAUACAUAAAUGUUUUAUUAAAUGUGUCAUUAAUUCAUUAAUUAAAUACUAUUUAAUUAAUUUACAUUUACAUUUCAUGAUUUACAUUUACAUUUCAUGAUUUACAUUUACAUUUCAGGAUUUACAUUUACAUUUCAUGAUCCUGUGUUGCAGUGCUUCAUGAAAUGUCAAACUGUCAAACUCGCCCAUCAAAGUUGGUAGGCGGAUCCUAACGCCUGAUUGGUUACCCUGCGCAUCAAGUCAAGGCAAAUCAAUUCCAGAUAAUGCAUUGACGCAGAGCGAGUGAACACAUUCGGUUUACAAAAUGUCUAAAAGCUGCCCGGAGCUGCUGCGAGAAGCCGCUAAUUUAAUAGAAGAGGCUCUGAGCAGAACUCCUCCGGCUCCGACGGCUCAGUCACAGCAGACACCUGCUGCUCCAUUACGUACACCCGUCCAAGCUGAGGUAGCAAGGCUCUUUGCGCCGUAUAACGGCGGAGCCAGAAGAAAUGUCACGAGACGACCAGCUCAAGUCCAAGUGAGUCGAAGAAGCUAUACACACACUGUGUGUUGUUUGGCUGACCACAAGGCGGAUAAAGUCCCAAGCGUACAGCUUAAAGCGGACCUUCAUACUUCAGGACUUGGAGAGCACAAAGUGACAUUUUCAGGGAAUGACAGCGAUCCCAUGGUCAUAACAAACAAGUUGAUGGAAGUAUUUCCGAAGCUCCAAGAAGGGGGAGGCUUCGAAUUUUUAAAAAUUGCAGGAUCUACACGGAGUCGAAAUCUGGCAUUGCUUCAGUGUCCCAGCACUGGAUACACGCUUGCCUAUCUAAAGGAUCCAGCUUCGAUGAUUGGACAGGCUACAAUCUUCAUUCGUCCGCUUCAACAGGAUCUACCCUUCGAUUGUGUACAUACAUUUACAGAGACCUAGUUCAAUACAUAAUCAAAACAAAGCUUACUGGUGACUUUCAAUCAUUAAUUAA
rnacentral:lncRNA from 1 species